AGAGCCGGACAAACGGUCGCGCGCAGUGGGUUUCUCACUGUGUGAGGAAAGUCCGGGCACCCCAGGGCAAAUUGCCGGAUAACGUCCGGUGUGGGCAACCACGAGGAUAGUGCCACAGAAAUGCAGACCGCCGAUGGCCGAUUUUCGGCACAGGCAAGGGUGCAACGGUGGGGUAAGAGCCCACCGGCAAAGCCGGAAGGCUUUGGCCAGGUAAACCCCGAUUGGUGCAAGGCCGGAGGCAGCUGUUUAAUCAGCAAGGGCGGCCCGCCCGCUUCCCAACCGCUUGAGCAUGGUGGAGACACCCUGCCCAGAUAGAUGACCGUUCUCGACAGAACCCGGCUUAUGGACGGCUCUUUUU
rnacentral:RNase_P_RNA from 1 species